CCGGAACCAGGCGCCCGCCGGAGGGACCAACCAAACUCUUUUCUGUAGUCCCCUCGCGGACGUUAUUUCUUACAGCUCUGAGCAAAAAUUCAAAAUGAAUCAAAACUUUCAACAACGGAUCUCUUGGUUCUGGCAUCGAUGAAGAACGCAGCGAAAUGCGAUAAGUAAUGUGAAUUGCAGAAUUCAGUGAAUCAUCGAAUCUUUGAACGCACAUUGCGCCCGCCAGUAUUCUGGCGGGCAUGCCUGUCCGAGCGUCAUUUCAACCCUCGAACCCCUCCGGGGGGUCGGCGUUGGGGACCUCGGGAGCCCCUAAGACGGGAUCCCGGCCCCGAAAUACAGUGGCGGUCUCGCCGCAGCCUCUCCUGCGCAGAGUUUGCACAACUCGCACCGGGAGCGCGGCGCGUCCACGUCCGUAAACACCCAACUUUCUGAAUGUUGACCUCGGAUCAGGUAGGAAUACCCGCUGAAACUUAGCAUAUCCAUAAGCGGAGG
rnacentral:rRNA from 1 species